GUUCCCUUAGCUCAGUUGGUUAGAGCGCGGUGCUAAUAUAGGUUAUGGGCCUCGCGCCCUCAAAAGCUUAAAGCACAAGGUCUGCUUCACAGCAGACUGUCCGCAGAUACGCCGCGGUCAUCGGUUCGAACCCGGUAGGGAACA
rnacentral:tRNA from 1 species